GAUGAAGAACGCAGCGAAAUGCGAUAAGUAGUGUGAAUUGCAGAAUUCAGUGAAUCAUCGAAUCUUUGAACGCACAUCGCGCCCUUUGGUAUUCCUUAGGGCAUGCCUGUUCGAGCGUCAUUUAAACCUUCAAGCUCAGCUUGGUGUUGGGUGACUGUCCGCUUCACCGCGGACUCGCCUCAAAAUUAUUGGCGGCCGGUACAUUGGCUUCGAGCGCAGCAGAAACGCGAACUCGGGCCCGUCGUAUUGGCUCCCAGAAGCUAUCUUCACAAUUUUGACCUCGGAUCAGGUAGGGAUACCCGCUGAACUUAAGCAUAUCAAUAAGCGGAGGA
rnacentral:misc_RNA from 1 species